rnacentral:rRNA from 1 species
GAUGAACGCUAGCUACAGGCUUAACACAUGCAAGUCGAGGGGCAUCAGGAACAAAGCUUGCUUUGUUUGCUGGCGACCGGCGCACGGGUGCGUAACGCGUAUCGAACCUGCCCUAUACUCGGGGAUAGCCUUGCGAAAGUAAGAUUAAUACCCGAUGUUGUUAUUACAUCGCAUGAUGUUUUAACCAAAGAUUUAUCGGUAUAGGAUGGCGAUGCGUGACAUUAGGUAGUAGGUGAGGUAACGGCUCACCUAGCCUACGAUGUCUAGGGGUUCUGAGAGGAAGGUCCCCCACACUGGUACUGAGACACGGACCAGACUCCUACGGGAGGCAGCAGUGAGGAAUAUUGGUCAAUGGGCGGAAGCCUGAACCAGCCAAGUAGCGUGAAGGAUGACGGCUCUAUGAGUUGUAAACUGCUUUUGUAUGAGGGUAAUAUCAGGUACGUGUACCUGCUUGAAAGUAUCAUACGAAUAAGGAUCGGCUAACUCCGUG